AUUGAACGCUGGCGGCAGGCCUAACACAUGCAAGUCGAGCGGAUGAAGGGAGCUUGCUCCUGGAUUCAGCGGCGGACGGGUGAGUAAUGCCUAGGAAUCUGCCUGGUAGUGGGGGAUAACGUCCGGAAACGGGCGCUAAUACCGCAUACGUCCUGAGGGAGAAAGUGGGGGAUCUUCGGACCUCACGCUAUCAGAUGAGCCUAGGUCGGAUUAGCUAGUUGGUGGGGUAAAGGCCUACCAAGGCGACGAUCCGUAGCUGGUCUGAGAGGAUGAUCAGUCACACUGGAACUGAGACACGGUCCAGACUCCUACGGGAGGCAGCAGUGGGGAAUAUUGGACAAUGGGCGAAAGCCUGAUCCAGCCAUGCCGCGUGUGUGAAGAAGGUCUUCGGAUUGUAAAGCACUUUAAGUUGGGAGGAAGGGCAGCAAGUUAAUACCUUGCUGUUUUGACGUUACCAACAGAAUAAGCACCGGCUAACUUCGUG
rnacentral:rRNA from 1 species